UGGCGGACACGUGAUAGUUCCUGGUGACAACAGCUGAUCAGAUCGCAAAGUAUGUUUCUGGACUGUUUGUCUUUUUACACGAUUCUUGCAAAGCCAUAGUGGAUGGAAAGUGUGACCUGGGAGAAGAGGAAUGCAUGAUAUCAGAGAAGAGAAGAGAAGAGAAGAGAAGAGAAGAGAAGGUGUUGUCUCGUCUCCUGUGAAUACACCAGGUAGGUGUCCAGAGAGGAGGGGCUUAGUGUCCACUGGCUUGUUUCUUCCUGGAAUUAAGUUGUAGUCGAAGGAGAGAGAGAGAGAUUGAGUCAGAGAGUGAACAACCAUAAGCAUAAGGUGAGUUUCCAGUUUAAUUCCUGAGAGACGAAGACCAACUGUUAUGGAAGUGGUGUGACUUUCAACAAUAGGAAUCCACUCCUACAGCUGGCACAUGAUGACUUAGAACACACUGAGAAGACACAUUAGCACACAAGGGGGAGAAGAAAAAAUGUGUAAGGAGCUACGGCACUACGGUGCCUGUUUACCACACUAAGAAGGCAGAUAAUCUGGCAGAAGCUGGACGGCAGCGCUUGUCCUUUUAUGCUGUGGCUGAUCAGGCUGAUGAGACACAGGUGAUCUGGCUGAGGAGUGGGAAAAGCUCUGGACUCCACCCAAAGGGGUGGAGAAUGUUGCUCAACACACAAACAAGUGGCGGACUAUGACAUCUUGGGCUCAGAAGAAUCAAAGGCAGGUUUCUUUAAAUGUUCUUUAUUGCAAAAAGAAAAGACAAUUAAAAACAUCAUGCCAUUUAAGUGAUCACAUUUGCAAAGUAAGCCAUCUACACUUCCAGCACUCUUGCAUUUAAAGAAUUUAAGAGAUCCUUAAACGUUAUACUGUUCAAUAUUCACUGUCACUCAGUCUUGCAACAGUUCCUUCUCAGUCAGCAGUGUCUCCUCAGGAAUACACAGGGUGCGUGACUGUGACUUCUCAUCAUCAAUGCAGUUUUAUUUCAUCCUUCACACAGCUUCAAAUCACUCCAGGAGCAUUUCAGAACCAGAACAUUUAGACUUAUGUUUUCAGAAAUUCAACAUCUUUAAUAAUUUGUAUUCAGGUCACAGCAAAAUUGGGCUGAGAAGUGAUCAGUGAUACAGUGAUGAGUCAAGAAUGUGUUCUUUUUGGGGGCAAUUAACUAAAAACUGACCUGUUGGAUUAGAAGGCUGAUAAAUUUUAAAAAAGGAUUUAGCUAGUCAACUUUUGUGAGCUGUACUUCACAAUAAGUAAAGGCUUCUGCACUCACUAGAGGAAAAAAACGAGAUUUUUCCAGAUUUCUGAAAGACUCGUCAGGAUCUCAGUAUUCAAACAAGCCAUUUCUGAGUGAGCCCUUUACACUGGUAUUUUCAUUCAAGUUGUUUUAUUUUUCAUUGCAUAUGUUUGUAUUUUAGCCUUUUGUAGGAGGAAAUUGAAAAUGCAUCUUUUAGGAAACUGCCUUCCAGGGUAAAGCUAUUCAGAAAAUGUGUUUGCAGUGUUCACUGCUAGAUAGGGAAAAAUCACUUUUUUUUCUCAUGACAUCAGAAUGCUAAGUGCUCUUCUCAGAACUUUUUGAAAACACUUUAUAUAAACACAAGUUGGUUGGGCAAAUUAUUGACACCAUGCUCUUGACAACAUUUCAAUUGUUUUUUAGCUUUUUUUCAUGUGGACAGAUUGUUUUUUUUCUUUUCCAAAAAAAAGCCCUGUCUACCCACACUUUUAAAAAACAAUUUGAUAGUAAAACUACAUGUUACUAGGCUACAAAGUCAUUAUUUGGUGCAAAAUACAGCUACAUUAGCACUAGGUACAACUACUUCACAAGUUUCAUUACUUUACACACUGGAUUGUGCCCAUUUUUGCCCUCAGAACUGCCUUGACUCUUUGUGUCAUUCAUUUAACAAGGUGCUGGAAACAUUCCCCAGAGAUUUUGGUCCAUAUUGACAUGAUAGUAUCAUGCAGUUGUUCUAGAUUUGUUGGCUGCACAUGAUUUGAGCCAUUAAGAUGGCUACACUGUGUUCAUAAAGGUAUGGACAUGGUCAGAAGCAAAAGAUGUAUACUUUGGUACAAAGUGGCCCUAAGGGUGCCAAGAAUAUAUCUCCCACAUCAUUACACCACCAUCACCAGCCUGAACCAUUGGUAAAAGGCAGGAUGCUUUCAUGCAUUUCCAUCAAAUUCUGAUCCUACCAUCUGAAUGUUGCAGAAGAAAUCAAGUCUCAUCACACCAGGCAAUUUUUUCAAAUCCUCUGAUGUCAAAAUUUGGUGAGCCCGUUGUUACGAACACCGUGCAAACUGUAGCCUCGGUUUCCUGUUCUUAGCUGACAGGAGUGGCACCCAGUGUGCACCCAGCACACCAGCCCUUAGGUGCAGACUCCGGGAGCGCUCGCUCUCUCUCUCCCCUCCACAUGUCUGUGGUGCUAAUAGACAAGCAGCGAUGACUGAUUUGUUUUCUUGUUUAUAUUCUUCAUUGUUACAGUCCCUAAAUUAAUGGCUCAAAGAAACCUCAACUAAAAUGUAAUGCAUGUAACUUAAGAAAAAUAUAAGAUGCCAAAACACUGCUGCUAUUCUUCAACAGUCUUUCAAUAAUGAGAAUUUGAUCGCUUACGAGAAACCAACAGAAACAAAAAGAGUCAGGAGCCCAAAGCUAUAGCAAAAGAGCAAGAACACACAAUAGUUUGUUGAUUCAGGCUUCUUCCCUGAACUAGUUUUUGGUCAACUUAAGUAAUAGAAACAAAAUUAAAACUGGACUGUUGUUAACUCCCAAGUCAAGCUACAUUGAUAAGCAAAACUGUAAAAGCAACAGAAAGAUAAAGCCAGUGCUGACUGAGUUGAGGGAGAAGAGAGAGGGAAAAAGACAAACUGUCUUUAUCCACGUUUGUCUUUUGUCCUGUCUCCUUCUCCUCACCCCCAACCAGUCGCUGUAGAUAGCCGCCCCUCCUUAACCCUGGUUCUGCCAGAACAGGGUUACCUCCUGUUAAAUAUUUAGUUUUUCCUUUCCAUUGUCGCCAAGUGCUUAUUCAUAGUUGAUCAUCUGAUUGUUGGGGUUGUCUCUCUAUUAUUGUAGGGUUUUUACCAUACAGUAUCAAGUGCCUUGAGGUGACUGUUGUUGUGGUUUUGCGCUAUAUAAUUAAAAUUGAAUUGAAUUGAAUUGAAAAAUUAUUAAGAGGAGGCAAGCUUCCUCUGGAUCCUUGUAAUUCAAACUCAUACUUUAGGGUGAAAAACGCGUCCACUGCGCUCUACGCGUCCAGUUAAAUUGUGUGCACAAAUAAAUUAAACUGUAAAUGUACGCACAAACUAAUAAGAAGGCUGUAGUAGUUUUUCUUAGACCUUAGAACUUUUACAGAACUUUCCUGUCCCAUAUUGAGCUGGUUUCUAGCACACCUGACUAACUAAGGGUAGCAAGUGUCACUGUAGUCUCACUAUGUUAUUGUAUUACAAGACAGACUCAUGCCUGUCUUAAAUCACCAGGCACUGCUUGUUUUAGUGGAAGUACAGAACUCAGCCUGAGUAUUUUUGCCACAGAUCUUGUAGACUCCUAGCUUGUUUCCCAUGAU